GCACAUGGUCAUUUUCCUCGACCACGUAGGUUUAUUUCGUCAAGACUAGUCAGCAUCGUAUAGCUUAAUAAUAAUACCUACACUUUUUACUCUCCCAAAUCGCAGAUUUUCGAAAUAGUUCCUCGUCAGUUUUUGCCGAAUUACAAGAGUCCAUGUUGGUUCAACAAACAGAAUGAACUCUACUGCUUGCCAUAUUUCUAUAUCAUUGGCAUGCAUAAAUGCGGUACAACAGAUCUGUGGGAUAAGAUCACCCAACACCCACAUGUCCUGGCCAGCGUCCCGAAGGAACCACAUUGGUGGUCUAUAGACGUAGGCGUGGAAUUGAUACACGUAACAUACCAAUUCACCAAAAGGAAGCACGUCAAAUAAGCGAGAUGAUAGGAGAGAAAGAAGACUCGUCUAUCGACUGGUAUCUCAACUGGUUCAAGACUUUUGGAGUUAAAUCGAUUGAGUCAAGUCCUUCUCAGAACGCUGACGGUGAUGUCACUUUCCCCAAGGUUUUCUGCGAUGCAUCGAUCAGUACGU